rnacentral:rRNA from 1 species
UACGUAGGUGGCAAGCGUUGUCCGGAAUCACUGGGCGUAAAGCGCGCGCAGGCGGCGAUCUACGUCUGGGGUGAAAGCCCGGAGCUCAACUCCGGGACUGCCUUGGAUACGGGAUCGCUUGAGGAUUGGAGAGGCAAGGGGAAUUCCACGUGGAGCGGUGAAAUGCGUAGAGAUCGGAAAGAACACCAACGGCGAAAGCACUCUGCUGGGCCGACACUGACACUGAGAGACGAAAGCUAGGGGAGCGAAUGGG